rnacentral:rRNA from 2 species
UGGAUAGCUGCUCGCAUCGUACAAGCAACAUACGAGCGAACAGAUGAGAAGCUUGCUUCUCUGAUGUUAACGGCGGACGGGUGAGUAACACGUGGGUAACCUACCUAUAAGACUGGGAUAACUCCGGGAAACCGGGGCUAAUACCGGAUAAUAUUUUGAACCGCAUGGUUCAAUAGUGAAAGAAGGUUUCGGCUGUCACUUAUAGAUGGACCCGCGCCGUAUUAGCUAGUUGGUAAGGUAACGGCUUACCAAGGCGACGAUACGUAGCCGACCUGAGAGGGUGAUCGGCCACACUGGAACUGAGACACGGUCCAGACUCCUACGGGAGGCAGCAGUAGGGAAUCUUCCGCAAUGGGCGAAAGCCUGACGGAGCAACGCCGCGUGAGUGAUGAAGGUCUUCGGAUCGUAAAACUCUGUUGUUAGGGAAGAACAAAUUUGUUAGUAACUGAACAAGUCUUGACGGUACCUAACCAGAAAGCCACGGCUAACUACGUGCCAGCAGCCGCGGUAAUACGUAGGUGGCAAGCGUUAUCCGGAAUUAUUGGGCGUAAAGCGCGCGUAGGCGGUUUCUUAAGUCUGAUGUGAAAGCCCACGGCUCAACCGUGGAGGGUCAUUGGAAACUGGGGAACUUGAGUGCAGAAGAGGAGAGUGGAAUUCCCUGUGUAGCGGUGAAAUGCGCAGAGAUAUGGGAGGAACACCAGUGGCGAAGGCGGGCUCU